AUUGAACGCUGGCGGCAGGCUUAACACAUGCAAGUCGAGCGGGGUGAUGGUGCUUGCGCUAUCACUUAGCGGCGGACGGGUGAGUAAUGCUUAGGAAUCUGCCUAUUAGUGGGGGACGACAUCUCGAAAGGGAUGCUAAUACCGCAUACGUCCUACGGGAGAAAGCAGGGGAUCACUUGUGACCUUGCGCUAAUAGAUGAGCCUAAGUCGGAUUAGCUAGUUGGUGGGGUAAAGGCCUACCAAGGCGACGAUCUGUAGCGGGUCUGAGAGGAUGAUCCGCCACACUGGGAAUGAGACACGGCCCAGAAUCCUACGGGAGGCAGCAGUGGGGAAUAUUGGACAAUGGGGGGAACCCUGAUCCAGCCAUGCCGCGUGUGUGAAGAAGGCCUUAUGGUUGUAAAGCACUUUAAGCGAGGAGGAGGCUCUUUUGGUUAAUACCCAAGAUGAGUGGACGUUACUCGCAGAAUAAGCACCGGCUAACUCUGUGCCAGCCGCCGCAGUAA
rnacentral:rRNA from 1 species